rnacentral:rRNA from 1 species
CGCUUCUUUCCUCCCGAGUGCUUGCACUCAAUUGGAAAGAGGAGUGGCGGACGGGUGAGUAACACGUGGGUAACCUACCCAUCAGAGGGGGAUAACACUUGGAAACAGGUGCUAAUACCGCAUAACAGUUUAUGCCGCAUGGCAUAAGAGUGAAAGGCGCUUUCGGGUGUCGCUGAUGGAUGGACCCGCGGUGCAUUAGCUAGUUGGUGAGGUAACGGCUCACCAAGGCCACGAUGCAUAGCCGACCUGAGAGGGUGAUCGGCCACACUGGGACUGAGACACGGCCCAGACUCCUACGGGAGGCAGCAGUAGGGAAUCUUCGGCAAUGGACGAAAGUCUGACCGAGCAACGCCGCGUGAGUGAAGAAGGUUUUCGGAUCGUAAAACUCUGUUGUUAGAGAAGAACAAGGACGUUAGUAACUGAACGUCCCCUGACGGUAUCUAACCAGAAAGCCACGGCUAACUACGUGCCAGCAGCGGCGGG